UACGUAGGUGGCAAGCGUUGUCCGGAUUUAUUGGGCGUAAAGCGCGCGCAGGCGGUUCUUUAAGUCUGAUGUGAAAUCUCGGGGCUCAACCCCCGAGCGGUCAUUGGAAACUGGGGGACUUGAGUGCAGAAGAGAAGAGCGGAAUUCCACGUGUAGCGGUGAAAUGCGUAGAGAUGUGGAGGAACACCGAUGGCGAAGGCAGCCCCCCUGGGCUAACACUGACGCUCAGGCACGAAAGCGUGGGGAGCAAACAGG
rnacentral:rRNA from 1 species